rnacentral:lncRNA from 1 species
AGCGGGGCCGGGGCCGGGCCGUGGCGCCGCCUGGCGGCAGCUGUGCACGGGAUCUCAAACUCAACUUGAAAAACUGGAAUAUGCAUUGACUAGGGAGCCAUACCUUAAGGCUUUCACUACUGGACAAAUAACAAAUCCCUAAGAAUAAUGACAUCAUCAUAGCUGAAGCUCAUAACUCAGAUGUAUCCUGGAAGAUCCUGGGAGGAACAUGAAUAUGGGUCAGGGUCAUCUAGUGCCACUGAGCUCACCUGGACUGCCAUCUAGUUAUCCUGCCUGAGACAUCUACCUUUGGAUAAGAUCUCCUGGAGCUUUGUGAUGUUCCUUCUAGUGCAUCAUGGCAUAGAGAGACAUGUCUGGAAGACUUCAAACCUAGACCAAAUGCAUAACCUCUAUGAUGCAAAUUACAUUUAAGCAGCUCUGGGGACUGAAUAUGGAUUGGUGCUUUGAUUUUAGAAAGAAAUACCGGAACAAAUAUGAUGUACUGCAACCAGAUGGUGACUAUCAGGGAAAAAGACUAAUCACAGGUUAAAGAAGUGCAAUUAAGGGAUAAUUAUUACUUUUUUUAAUCUAUGAAAUUUUCUGCAUGUGUAUGAAAACUUGUUGAAGUUGUAGAUGAUUACAAGGAAAAACACAUCAAAACAAUUUUGUCAAUUCGAUGAAUUUAUUGUUUUUCAUUAUUUCAGUGUUUUAUAAAGAUUCUACAUGGUUAACAUUUCAUGAUAAUUAGGGAGGUGUCAUAAUGCACCUUCUGAAUCUCUAUUAAUAGCAGGUGAGAAAAAAAUGUAUUUAAAAAAAUUAUGUAUAUCAAUGACCACUCCAUAAUUCUGUCCACUUCCAUCCAUCAGCUUCUAAUUGUGUCCUGCUGCUUGUGUAUUCAAGUCUUUCACAUUAUGUCUGGUUUUUUUUUUUGAGACCAGUGUUUAUUCAUAUGGCUAACUGCAAAGGUAGAUGGGUAAAAUGGAAAAGAAAGGUGGGAUCGUGUUUUCCUUUUCUGUCUCCCUUUCUCUCUCUCUCUCUUUUACUCUCCCCCUCUUUUCUAAACAAGCUAAGAGUUUUUAUAAUUCAUCACCUGGCUGACAGAUGAGUUCUGCUGGAGAAUAUUAGAAAAUGUCUCAAAUCUCAUAUAUAUGCUAAUGGUAUGCUGAGACUGGUUGGUGGUAUGCCGGAGUUUUUAAUCUGUCUCGACCAGUGUGGAAAGUGGAGGAGACAAGUCAUUGCACUCGACAAUUUAUGAUCAAACAACUGAAUUGUAAAGGAAGAAGGACAUGCAGAAAAGGAGAGUAAUUUUCUGAUUUAACAGCGUUGUUACUACAAAUAAAGAAAUCUUGAUUUUGACUGCACUCGACAUUAAAUGAGUUUCCUGUGUCCUGCUCUGAAUUUUUCAUUUCCAGAUUUGUAUAAAGCACCCUGCUUAGAUACAAGUGACAGAUAAGGAGACGAUUGCAUAUGGAAAUCAAAUGUGUAUAAUAAAGCCAUCUUCUGUUUAUUAAAUAAACACAUGUAGAGGAC